CUGCGCUGGAAAUGUGCAGCAAGUUGGAAAAACUCACCCGCGGAUCUUUUCUCGACUCUUCACACUUUGAGCGUGCGGCGCCUCGAAGCUUCCUGAGCGGACUCGACCCGACCAGGGCACCGUUUGGCGGCUGUAGCUCCUCGAAACGGACAGCCACAAAGCACAAAGGCUCCACAAGAGAACUUGGUACACUUUGCAAAUGAUACAAAGCAUCCUCACUCACCUCCUGAAUGGUCCGGAGCAGGGGAGCGGCAGGGCGUGGACGGCCCAGGAGAGAGACUCUGCGUGGGGGAACCAGAGAGGCUGUCGCUAGAAGACUGGUGGAAUCCUGAGGAGAAGCUACGACUGCUCUGCAUGGGCGGAGGCGGCGUGUGCUUCGACAGCUUCUUCAGGAUGCUACGUCGUCUGCUGCAAAUGACAAAAGAUUGGUCUACCUGGAGUGAUGAUGAGAGAGAGGCCAGAGACAGAGGCAGACUUGGGGACUUUGCCAGCUGGGGAUCGGGGUUUCUCUGGAGUUUCCAGCUGGUGAGCAAUCCGUCGAGAUGCCCCUCUCCUGAAUGACGGCCUAGUCCCUGUGCUGUUGCUCCGGAGACGAAUGCGCCGCAGAGAUGGCAAAGUGAGGCAUGAUGUCAAGGCUCUGGGUGCUGUUCAUCACCAGCGGGCUGGCACUGCGCUCGGACUGGGAGGAACUGGAUGAAGCACGGGGACGAAGACUGCAAAGGAGAAAAA